UGCGGGGGAUGCGGGGGAUGCGAGACAUGCGAGCUGAACGAUAAACACCUCUGUUGAGAGUGCAAGGCUUUCGCCAGUUUUUGUAUAAAACAGAUUUUUUUGUGCUUAUUCUUCUAAUGACUCUGGAUUGGAUUACAGAAAAUCCUGCUUCUUAAAGGCUAUUUUGGUUGUUGGCUGUCAGAAAACCUCUAAGGAUUUCAACGGUGGUUUCCUUGUAAAAUAAUGAAAGACAGACCUAGCACAAGAAUCUGCUUUUAUAAUAAUACUGUGCGUCAGAAGCUUGAACUUUUCUUUUUCCCAGUAAAACUUUAUAGUUCCUACUACCCGGAAAAAAGGUUACACACACACACACACACACACACACGAAUAAAUGCACUUCUCCCUUGUUAGGCCGCCAGUAAAGUAGAUCUAGCGUCCAGCCUCUUUCACGGAAGCCUCCUUAACUGUACACACACACUACAUACAUAGAUACAGACACUUUGCUUUCUGCCAACACAGAAGCAGCAUUUCUAGGUAGGUCCAAAGUGGGGGCAGGUCAGCAGGGGUAAGAGAGGGGAACCUAGGCGGGAAGCAGGGCACCGCGGCCCGCUCCAGGUUCGUGCUGAGGGCUCCGCCGAAGCAAGAAAGUUCUGGAGGAAGUACCGAGUGCUCAAGCCCAGAGACUGCUUCCCAGAGACUGCUCCGGCCGCGGACAGGGGGAGAAGUGAAGAAGACGGACAAACUGCCAUGAGGCUUGCCAAAGAUCUCUCCUGGAUUCUGGAGUCCUGAGUCACCAGCCACUCUCCUUUUUAUCCGGCCGCAAAGUGACUGUGCCCCUCUCUGCCUUCCAGUCCUUGCCUUUGAUUAUCUUAACACCAAACAUUGAGCAAGCAUCAAUAGUGAGAAGAGCCAUCUAUCCAAACAUAUACUAAUAGAGUCAUUGUCUCAUAUCGAAUAGGCAAUUGGCCUUAAGUGCUUGAUUGUUUGAUUCAAGUCUACCUUUUCAGAGUUUUUGACCCUCUACAAUUUUCUAUUAAAAAUAAAUAAAAAAAACUUUAAAAAAUUUAAAAAAGAAUAUAA